AGGCGUGUAGCUCAGCUGGUUAGAGCACCACCUUGACAUGGUGGGGGUCGUUGGUUCGAGUCCAAUCGCGCCUACCA
rnacentral:tRNA from 1 species